UAANNNNNNNNNNNNNNNNNNNNNNNNNNNNGCAAAUCAAGAAUAACUUUUAAUUUUGUAUUGAUAGGAGUAUUUGAAAAAAAUAAAAUAAAAUAAAAUAAAAUAAAAUAAAAUAAAAUAAAAUAAAAUAAAAUAAAAUAAAAUAAUAUGCCUUUAAAAUGACGUAGGUGAAAAAAGACAAUUUUAUUUUUGGGUGAUCUAUCCUUAUAAAUAAUUUUAAGAUGUGUGCUUGAUAUGAAUGCUGUUGGAUUAUUUUUUUAAAAGUUAGCAUAAAAUGAAUAAAACUGAUGCAUUACACACACACACACACACACACACACACACACACACAUUAUUCAAUCAUGCAUAUGUUUCUUUUUUUGUAAAUGAUGCAGAAUGUUCAUUUUUGGGUGAACUAUCCUUUUAAGCUCUGACCUCAAUCAUCAUGUCUCUUAUAAACCAUUGACUGGAAUGCUGCUUCCACAGUGAAACCUGUUGUCAACAUUAGGCCUAAUUGUUGAUUAAAUAAUGUAUCUGAGUAAAAGAUUUAAACAAUUAAAUAAAGAAGAAUUCCAGAUCCCACACUGCAUUUUCUUCAUGCUGACUUGAUAACCAGGAACGAAGCAGUGUAAACACAAUGAUGUUUUGAUUAUCUGUGGUCGGCUGGUGCUGCGUCAGCCUGCAACCUCUUAUAUUUAUGAUUCUGAAUCUUUGGUUGUUUAAUCCUGGUGGGAUGAAUCAGGCACAAUUUAUGAUGCUAUUUCUUUCUUUUUUCCUGCAGAAAAGCCGAUGCCACAGGGACCUCCUGGCGGUAUUUUUGGUAUCUUGGGAGUUGUGGUGGUGGCUGGUCUGAUUGUAGGAGUAGUGGCCACAAUAUGUAUGGUGUACAGGAGAAGACAGAAGCCCCGUACGGAAACAGACAACGAUCUGACUGACCUCCCCCCUGCUCAUAAGCCGGCCCCUCCACCACCCAAGAAAAAGAGCAGCGACAUGAAAAGCGGCCUGACGUCUGACGAGAUCCAGGUUGUUCAUCUGGACAGGGAGUAUGAGAUACAGAAGAUUCCUCUCCAGCCUCCAUACUAUGACAUGGCACAGUCUGAGUCCACCGCGUUCACCGAUAAGCCUAACUCUGGUUACAAGGACUGUGAUGUCCAGUAUGCAGAACUGGAUACUGCAGCUUUGACUUCCUCUCCCAGCCCACCAAGCUCUGUGCACACUGGCGGGGACCUUGUUGAGCAUGCAACCAUCCAGCCUAGCUCACACUAACGCAUGCCAUUGUAGGCUUUUCCCCCUAUGACUCUGGCCUCAAGGUACACAGACUGAUGCACUCCUAUGUUUCUUUUCCUCUGUCCGUCCCUCAUUCUCUCUCACUGAGCACUGAAUUCCCUCUCCCUUUCCUGGUUGUGUCUUCUUCUGUUGUUGUUUGGUUUUGCCUUUAUGCUCUUAUUUGGUUAAUUGCAAUUGCAAUGGCCAUAUGUUAAGCACCUGUCUUAGAUGUGACUAAAUACCAAAGCUUCUAACUAUAACAAAUGAGCUCCCAUAAUAGUAACACGAUAGCAUAUCACUAAUGUCAGUUUGAUGGGGUAGUCUGCUUAAAACAAUUCUUUGUUUGACAUAAGAGACAGCUAAAAGUGGCACUUUGACACUUAAAAACAACAACAACAACAACAACAAAAAUCCUUA
ensembl:lncRNA